AUGAAUUGGGACAUUUUUAUUAAGGUUCUAAGAGCUGUGAUCCUAGAAAACGAGGAGAUGUUUCUGAGGAAGGAUGAAGAAAAUAUAAUGAAAGAUGAGGGAAGCAAGAAGGAACAGAAUGUAAGACAAAGAAUUGCCUCUUCAGCCCUUUGCAAUGCACUGCAUCGAGGAUUUCAACAAGGACUCUGGAGUUCGGAGGUGAAUUUCCCCUGAGUUGCUCCUGGCUACAUCUUGACCUAGAAAGCUGGAUAAAAUCUCUCAUCUGAAGUGGUCUGUGAAAGUGACCACUGUUCCCCUCCCAGAGCAGCACUCAUCACCCGUCCCUAAGGCCAACACCCAUGGCGGGCAGGGCAGUGGCACGGGAAACAGCUGGAGCUUCCAAAAAGCUGCCAGUCCCUGUGUCUGGAAAAGGAGAAGUGGGGGUAGGUAGAAUUUCAUAAUCACAGAGAGCAAGGAAGAGAAAGAAACCAUUGUCUGCCUGAAGCCAGGUUUCCUGAUCUGAUUCCCAGAAAUCUCACUCUUCUCCAAAUAUCCAAGGCCAGGGGUUUGCUCCAAACCCAUCCUGAGGAGCACCUUUAAAAAAAAUCACAGUCAUCAGUUCAAAAGAAUUUGUAGCUAAAAAUGUUCUUCAUUUAAAAAAAAAAAAUUGUCUCCACAUAGGUGAGUACCUACCAUUCGCUUAGCAUUUAAAAGUUUUAAGUUACACCAGUCCUGGAGAAGCUUUUAACUGGUCUCUACUUGUUUUACUGAAAUUAGAAUAUGCAGCCACAAAGUAAAUUUGGUUAUGGUUAUAUUACCUAUAAGAUAGCUUAAUUUAGAGGGAAAUCACCAUGCUUUUUUAGCCAACUUUGUUUUUCAUGUAAAAUUAAAACAGCCAAAGAGACAAAACCAUUUUAUUUAAAAAAGAUUUACAAUUUUAAAUAAAAUGUAAUUGCUAAGACUAAGUUCCAGUCCCUGUGCUCUUUAAUAGUUCGUAACACCUUGUUUUCUCGCGUAGGACCUGCCUGGUUCCUGACCUGGGCGCUAGCCUGCCUCAUUAGCUCUGUCAUUAGAUCAAGAGCUCUGUGAGCUCAGGCCCCUGUC
rnacentral:lncRNA from 1 species